rnacentral:rRNA from 1 species
ACAGAGGGUGCAAACGUUGUUCGGAAUUACUGGGCAUAAAGAGCACGUAGGUGGUUCGCUAAGUCACGUGUGAAAUCCCCCGGCUCAACCGGGGAAUUGCGCGUGAUACUGGCGGACUCGAGGCGGGUAGGGGUGAGCGGAACUCCAGGUGGAGCGGUGAAAUGCGUAGAUAUCUGGAGGAACACCGGUGGCGAAAGCGGCUCACUGGACCCGAUCUGACACUGAGGUGCGAAAGCUGGGGUAGCAAACGGGA